rnacentral:rRNA from 1 species
GACAGAGGGUGCGAGCGUUGUUCGGAAUUACUGGGCGUAAAGCGCGCGCAGGCGGAUCCUGCAAGUCGGAAGUGAAAUGUGGCUGCUCAACGGCCACGCUGCUUCCGAUACUGCGGAUCUGGGGACCGGUAGAGGCUGGUGGAAUUGCAGGUGUAGCGGUGGAAUGCGUAGAGAUCUGCAAGAACACCCGUGGCGAAGGCGGCCAGCUGGGCCGGAUCCGACGCUGAGGCGCGAAAGCUAGGGGAGCAAACGGG